GACGAACGCUGGCGGCGUGCUUAACACAUGCAAGUCGAACGAAGUGGCGAACGGGUGAGUAACGCGUAAUCAACCUGCCCUUCAGAGGGGGACAACAGUUGGAAACGACUGCUAAUACCGCAUACUGAAGGAGGGGAUUGCGUCUGAUUAGCUAGUUGGAGGGGUGACGGCCCACCAAGGCGAAGAUCAGUAGCCGGGUUGGGAGGGUUGACCGGCCAAGUGGGACUGAGAAACGGCCCCGGCUCCUUCGGGAGGGAGCAGUGGGGAAUCUUCCGCAAUGGACGAAAGUCUGACGGAGCAACGCCGCGUGAGUGAUGACGGCCUUCGGGUUGUAAAGCUCUGUUAAUCGGGACGCGGUACCGGAAUAGAAAGCCACGGCUAACUACGUGCCAGCAGCCGCGGUAAUUC
rnacentral:rRNA from 1 species